rnacentral:misc_RNA from 1 species
GUAGAAAAACUGCAUAUAAGGGAAAAAGGAAAUGGUGGCUUCAAUUUCAACACUGAUAGAAAAAGUUCAUCUUUACACAACAGCAGAAAGACCAAAUGCUUUCUGUAGAACAAUCAGUGAAGCAGCAAUAUUCAAAUAAUCAGGGGAAAAAAAAUCAAGAUACUACAUAUGCAAGCAUGAUAACUCUUAUGCUCUUCUAUAUCUCCAUGAAUCCAGAAACUUUUGCUUUGCCUUAUAUCAUUUGGUCUAUGCAGUAGAACUUAUAACAUUCGAGAUUAUGCAGGACAAUUAUACGCGACAGAUCCUUUUUUGGCUCUCUUUAGCCCUAUAUCUCUUAUCCUUGGCAGGUUUUCCUCAACUAGUAGGUUUUUUUAGAAAACUCCAUUUAUUCUGGUGUGGAUGGCAGGCGCACCUAUACUUCUUGGUUUGAUCCAAUGGAUUCAUUAUUAAAGAAUAAAAAUGACGACAUUGCAGUGCUAUACGCAUUGUUGUUCGAAAGCUUUUUCAGGGUUCUUUCCAUCAAUUUUUGAGUGGUGAGGGAAAUCAUACGGCAUUUCUUCAGCAGAGAGCUGUGCAUCAUUGAACACUCUUACAACCUCUUGAUAGACUACCGCAUUACCUUCUGGUGUCAAGUGCAAGCCAUCACUCAGAAAUUUUUUCUGCCAACCCUCUGUUUCCUGCAUCUUGUACCAUAUAUCAAUGGAGCAAAUUCCCAAGUCCUUUGCUAACUCAACACAUUGCCUUGCAUAAACUCCUGCCAUUUCAUUUGUCCUUUCUGGCAGUUCCAUAGCUUUGUCACCAUAAACAGAUUUGGCAAACUGUUUGCGCCCUUCUUCAUCAAUAGGUGGUGGAGUAAUAAGCACAAUUAACAUGGUGGGCGAGCACUCCUUCAAAUGCUGAACAAUUUUCCUUAGAUUCUCCUUGUAUUCCUCCACAGGAACAUGUUGCCUAUCACUAGUUCUCCCUUUUAAAGCUGCAUCGUUAGCCCCAAAGAAUAUUG